ACCGUUAAUCAAAAUUUCAUGGUAAUUAAUGUUCCAAAAACCAUCUUAAUAAUGACCAAGUUAUUUCGAUAAAUUCAUCAUUAUUUUCAAAAUUAAUUAAAACAAAGUCUGUAUAUGU